AAACCAUAAUUUGGAGACUUCUACUAAUACUCCUUGAAUCUCUCCCAAGCUUCAUAUAGUUGUUCCCCCGGAAGCUGUUGGAAAUCAUAGACUUAUUAUGGAUUU